rnacentral:rRNA from 1 species
UACAGAGGGUGCGAGCGUUGUUCGGAAUUAUUGGGCGUAAAGGGCGCGUAGGCGGCGCCACAAGUCACUUGUGAAAACUCUGGGCUCAACUCAGAGCCUGCAAGCGAAACUGUGGUGCUGGAGUAUGGGAGAGGUGCGUGGAAUUCCCGGUGUAGCGGUGGAAUGCGCAGAUAUCAGGAGGAACACCGAUGGCGAAGGCAGCUCGCUGGGACGGUACUGACGCUGAGGAGCGAAAGCGUGGGGAGCGAACAGG